GACAGAGGGUGCAAACGUUGUUCGGAAUUACUGGGCGUAAAGCGCGCGUAGGCGGCUUUGUAAGUUAGAGGUGAAAGCCCGGAGCUCAACUCCGGAAUUGCCUUUAAGACUGCAUCGCUAGAAUCAUGGAGAGGUGAGUGGAAUUCCGAGUGUAGAGGUGAAAUUCGUAGAUAUUCGGAAGAACACCAGUGGCGAAGGCGACUCACUGGACAUGUAUUGACGCUGAGGUGCGAAAGCGUGGGGAGCAAACAGG
rnacentral:rRNA from 1 species